CAAUAGCGUAUAUUAAAGCUGUUGCGGUUAAAAAGCUCGUAGUUGGAUUUCGGAUGGGAUUUGCCGGUCCGUCGUUACGAUGUGCACUGGCCAGUCCUAUCUUGUUGUCGGGGACUAGCUCCUUGGAUUCACUUCCUGGGACUAGGAGCUGACGAGGUUACUUUGAGUAAAUUAGAGUGUUCAAAGCAAGCCUACGCUCUGAAUACAUUAGCAUGGAAUAACACGAUAGGACUCUGGCUUAUCUUGUUGGUCUGUGAGACCAGAGUAAUGAUUAAGAGGGACAGUCGGGGACAUUCGUAUUUCAUUGUCAGAGGUGAAAUUCUUGGAUUUAUGAAAGACGAACUUCUGCGAAAGCAUUUGUCAAGGAUGUUUUCAUUAA
rnacentral:rRNA from 1 species